ensembl:lncRNA novel transcript
GUACAGAUAAAGAUGAAACAUCCAAUUGCAGAUAUGAAUGACCUAAUUCAAUGGAUGAGUCUGGAAGAGGACCAAGUUCAUGGGAAAGAUCAAAAAUUCAGUUUUGAAGAUGUUGAUGAGAAGAUGAGACAAAACCAUGUAUAGAUGCGGAUGAGCUAAUUAAAUAUAUGAGUCUGGAGCUGAAAGGAAAUGCCUUGACAAGAGAAGUAAAUUUGAGGACCAUCAGUAUACAGAUGUACUUGAAUCCAUCUAUGUAAAUGCAAUCACCCUGGGAGGAAAUUUAGAGUGAGAACAGGACUGCGUGGAAAGACAUUAAAGAAGUUAAAGAAAGAAGAACUAACAAAGGCAGGAGAGAAGAAGAGGACGGAGAGGUAGGAGAGAAACCAGUAAUGUGCGAUGGCAUAGAAAUUAAGAAAUAUUUUAAAAAAUCAACCUCAGAAAUGAAUAACAGCCCAAAAGAGGUCUGGGAGAGAAGGAAGCUGUAUUGUUGGUACAGAAGCCAACAUAGGAGAAAAGACUUUUAGCCCUCCCUCUCCUCCUGGGAGACACAGUUGAAGGAAGAGCAGCCUGUGAUUCAGAGGGAAGGACACUGAGUCAGAUCCUGCAGGACCAACAGCAUUAAGUGCUACAAAGAGAGACCCUGCUGAGGGGGCCCCUCCUCUCCUCCCCAAGAUCCUGCCAGGAAGGGACUGCCUUUUGUCACAAUUUGGCUGACUGGUCAAUUGAGGGUGAAUCCUCAAACCAGCAGGCUUUAAGGAGCACCUUAGGGUUCAGAGCAGACCUUUUUCUUUUUCUGCCAGUGUGUAGCAGAUCUCCUUCUGCAGCCUUGGCUAUGAUCUCCGCUCCUCUCUCUCUCUGCCUUGGCUAUCUGCCUGCUCUCCUGCUGUCCUCAUCUGUAGGAGCUGCACAGCUCAGCAAGAAACUGUUCUUAGUGUGCCCAUCAAAGCACUGGAAGAAAAAGAAUACUGAGAUAGUUGCCUGAAAAGCAGAAGCAGCUCCUGUCACAGUGCCAAAUGCACUCGUUUAAGGAAUUCUGAUUUUACAAAAGGAACUCCCCCAACCCCCAAACUAAAAGUUAAAGAUGAAGAAGCAUCAUGUCUUAAAAUAGACAGUUUUGUGUUUUCUCACUGCAGUCAAAAACAGAACUCUGGCAAAACAGCAUGGAAUGGGAAGUGGACGUGGCUUUCUGCAUAAAACACAUACCCUGCAACAUAGCAAAUUACUCUGCCUGAUCCUUCACCCAUUAUCCUUGGACCAAGCUUAUGCUUUCUGUAAAGUGAGUCUUCAUCUUGAGAAUCCUUAUUCACUAGACAGAUUUGAUUUGCUUUGCUUCACUUUCAAAUACAUCAGGACAGGUCUGAAUUUGUAAUAGGUAUCUUGUCUCUUUUACUUAGGACCAUUACUCUUUACAUUCCUUUUGAAAGUCUUUUUGCUACUCUCAAUAGAUCAGAGAUAGAAAAAUUUUCUUAGAGAAAUCUAAGAAAAUAAGUUCGCUUCAAAAAUCUCUAAAAUGCCUUCCAAUAUGAAGAUGACCAGAUGACCAGAACUGUCCAAAUUUUUGGACAAUGUUAUUGUUUCCUCCACCACCUGCUCUUUCCUUUCUCCUGUAAAGAAGAGAGCCUUUAAAGAAGUAAAAAUAUUAUACCAAUGCCCCUCAUUGAGGGUCCAUAAUCAUAUCAAUUUGUAAAGCACCUGCAUUUAUUAACCUCUAAUUGAAGAUGGUGUCCUCUGUAUUUUUCACUGUGCCCAAUGCAAAAACUCAUGUGACUAAUUAUGUUCAUAAUUAAAAAUAUUUUUCUCUUUUGUUGAACUGAUGAGAUUCUUUGAAUUAGAAACUAAAACCCAUCUAAUUCUUUGUGCUUAUAUUUGUUUGACUUCCAAGAAGUUUGUUUAUAAUCUUCAUGUUUAAUUAUAGUGUUAUAUUUGUUUUCAGUUUUCUGAUGUAAUUGUUUUAA